UGGGGAAUUUUGCACAAUGGGCGAAAGCCUGAUGCAGCAACGCCGCGUGAGUGAUGAAGGCCUUCGGGUUGUAAAGCUCUGUCUUUUGGGACGAUAAUGACGGUACCAAAGGAGGAAGCCACGGCUAACUACGUGCCAGCAGCCGCGGUAAUACGUAGGUGGCAAGCGUUGUCCGGAUUUACUGGGCGUAAAGGAUGCGUAGGCGGAUUUUUAAGUGAGAUGUGAAAACCCUAAGCUUAACUUGGGGACUGCAUUUCAUACUGGAAAUCUAGAGUGCGGGAGAGGAGAAUGGAAUUCCUAGUGUAGCGGUGAAAUGCGUAGAGAUUAGGAAGAACACCAGUGGCGAAGGCGAUUCUCUGGACCGUAACUGACGCUGAGGCAUGAAAGCGUGGGUAGCAAACAGGAUUAGAUACCCUGGUAGUCCACGCCGUAAACGAUGAGUACUAGGUGUAGGAGGUAUCGACCCCUUCUGUGCCGCAGUUAACACAAUAAGUACUCCGCCUGGGAAGUACGAUCGCAAGAUUAAAACUCAAAUGAAUUGACGGGGGUCAUAGCUGUUUUUCCU
rnacentral:rRNA from 1 species